CUAAGUUUGAUGGCGACCGGCGCACGGGUGAGUAACACGUAUCCAACCUGCCGAUAACUCCGGAAUAGCCUUUCGAAAGAAAGAUUAAUACCGGAUGGCAUACGAAUAUCGCAUGAUAUUUUUAUUAAAGAAUUUCGGUUAUCGAUGGGGAUGCGUUCCAUUAGGCAGUUGGUGGGGUAACGGCCCACCAAACCUUCGAUGGAUAGGGGUUCUGAGAGGAAGGUCCCCCACAUUGGAACUGAGACACGGUCCAAACUCCUACGGGAGGCAGCAUG
rnacentral:rRNA from 1 species